AGAGAGAGAGAGAGAAAAGAGAGGAAGAGGAAGGCCAAUAAAUGGUGCAAUCUCUGCCUCCUCGGUUCAAGCGAUUCUCCUGCCUCAGCCUCCCGAGUAGCUGGGAUUAGAGGUACCAAGGCUCUUCUUUCUAACUUCAAGGAGUGAGGAUUUAGUCAUCUAUACUAGUUCCUGCACAAUUUCCUGCAUAAUUGGCAUUCAGGCUCAGAAGACUCUUAAACCAGAUCCAAUUCAGAGCCUUGUGUGGUUUUAUCCCCAGAGAGAAAUUAUCCUUUUGGGAGGUUUGUCAUCUUUGUCAGGAAGAAAAUGGUGUUACUGUUUCGUACUUUCAUUGUGCCGUGGCAGACAGGCAGUGGCUUUUCAGCCAGGUCCAUAAGCUAAUUGUAGAAAUGAUGGAAAGUGUCAGAAUGUAAAGAAAAAAAAGUCUUACAGUAAGUGACAGUUGUCACUUUGCUUAUUUUCUGCUAUUUGCUGUAAUAGGCACCAAACUAUAAAGGAACAUUUGAAGGAGAAAAAAGGCUUGUUUCACACAUGCAUAAUAUUGAACAGAAAUGAGCUUUAAAUAUUGGUGUACAUUCCUUCAGAAUGUAAUUACCCUACAUUACCCUAUCAGUCACUCUUCUUCAUCAGGGGCCAAAAAUAAUUUCUCCAGCGUCUCUCCAUUCUUGCGUACCCACUCUCAUCAAUGCAUACUCAGGGGUGUGUUGCUUACAAAUCAGGAAAACAAAUGGCAACAAGGAGAGUGAGCGCCCAUUAAUUUUGUGCUUUCUUUUUGAGAACAACAGCUUCAACCCAGCUAUUAGUCGUCUUGAGCAUGAAAGCAGUCUUCAAACUUGAAACAGAAUUGUUGGUUUCAACGUUAUGUUUUUAUUUUUAUGUUUUAUGUUUUAGACGGGGGCUCACAUUUAAAUAAGGCUAUUUCAAUGCUUGUUUAGUGAAUGCUAAAUUAAUUAUAGUUUCCUUUUAUGGAAGUUUGAGGGGUUUUUGACAUCCUUAUAUUUUUUUUCCACUCUGCUUUUUUCUUUUAUUGUGUGUGUGUUUUCAUUUCUUUUUAGAUGCUCUGCAAUAAAUGACUAAGACUUUUUUGACCGGGUUUCAUUUCUUUUCCAUGUCUAUCAUUUGCAAAAUUUCAAAGGAACAAUUUAUUAUCCGUUGUUUUUAAAAUAAAUAGCAUUGAAAGUGUCUCUAUAUGCAUUACAGCAGAACAGUUUUGAAUAGCUUAAAUGCCAACUAGUUGAAUAGCUGCAUAUGGAUAUUAGCAGUCUCAGGUCUCUUCCAAACAACUUUCCUGGUGAUGUAAGAAAGGUAUUAUAAAAUGGUGUAGGGAGGAGGCUCAAGAUCACCUCUACCAUCUUUUUAGUUCUUAGUUGGGAUCUUUGGUUGAGUCUAAGAACCAAAUUGUCACAGACAGAUUAAUAGGCGGUAAACAUACAAAUGUUAUUCAUUUGUACAUGCACAUAGGGAUCCACCACAGAGAGUGAAGACCUGAAGAAAUAGACAAAGCAGAAACGUAUUAUACUUUUUAGACAAAGAAAUGGUACUUCCAUGAAGAAAUGACAACACAAAGGCAUUUGAGCUAGGGGUAGUAAAUCAUGGAGAAGCCCCUGGGAGAUAUUGGGUGGGGGGUGAAGCUAGUGGAAGAUAAGGGUUAUUUUAGUAACUUUAUUUGUACAGAUCCAUUGCAACAUCAAUUCCAAGUCUUUAGUGAUAAGAAUUAUUUUCUCGUCUCAUGCAGGGAAGGUGCACUUAAAAGCAAUUUUAUGGCUUGCUACAGGUAGGAAGGGGCCAGUCAGAUACUCCUUUCUGCAACUAUUUCUCAUUUUCUUCAGCUUGAAAUAAUCAAUAUGCCAAAUAUGGGUAUGUUAUAGGGUGCCAUGUCCCUAACUCCUUCAGAUGUAUGGGCCCGUAUAUGACCAUGAACAUGUCUGUUAGGCCGGGUGCAGGGGCUCAUGCCUGUAAUCUAAGCUCUUUAAGAGGCUGAGGCAUGAGGAUCGCUUAAGGCCAGGAGUUUGAGACCAACAUGGGCAACUUCGUAAGGCCCCAUCUCUCAAAAAAGUAAAAUAAAAUAAAAUAGAAAACUAGGGAUGGUAUACUCCUAGCUACUCAGGAGGCUGAGUUCAGAGGAUCUCUUGAGUUCUGGAAUUUGAGAGUGCAGUGAACUGUGAUUGCCCUACUACACUCAAGUCUGGGUGACAGAGUGAGAGCUUGUCUCAAAAUAAAUAAAUAAAUAAAAGGUCUGACAACUUCAGGCACCAUAUGUUUCUCCUUAAGUCCCCAAUACUGUCUUCCUUUUCUGGUCAAAUUUACAAUUAUCCUUGUCUGGGGUACACAAAGCCACUUAGAAGAAACCAUACUUUUGCUAUUAUCUAUCAUAUAAAAUUCAAUAUCCAUGCAAUAGAAGUAUAUAUGAAUGCUACCAAACUUCUAAUUUUUUGAGUACCAGAAAAAAAGCUCCUAUCAUAAAUAGGCAGCAUGCUUUCUCCCCAACAUUAUGUCAUACUAUGUACCUGGGCCUCUAAAUCUCCUUGUGUUCACUCACAAUGUGAACACACAGUGGUUCAGCAGGGUUAAUGAAUAUCCUUCAGAAUCCUUGUGACCUAAGUAGGGAAAGGAACUAGAUCAUCCAACCACCUUGCUUCACCUUAGCUUAUUGCCAACCAAAACAUCUGUCCUUCCACCUAAUACUACAAAUGAUCCUGUGCCUAUGACUUAAGAUGAAUAGAUUCUAAAAUUUGUGCAUUCCAUAUGGGUGAGAAGAAGCAUGUUUCCUAUUAGGAGCAGUUGGCCAAAACUGUACUGAAUACAAGGUCAUAUCUAUUCAGUAGUAAAAGAAAUUAAUCCCCCUACCCCCCACCAUAAAAAAAGACCUGGGUAAUGUGAGAUUUAAAAUGCAAUCCUCAAAGCAGUUUGGCUUUUCUGCCAGGUGAUGAUUUGUUAUAGCACUGAAUGAUGAAACUUGCUUUUCACAGAGAAUUUUAGGUCAGUUGGAAGGAUCUGUUCUCUCUGCAUUAUGAAGGGAUACAUUCCAGAAGAAAUUAGCUGGGGUUGGUGUACCAACUUUGUAAAAUUGCUUCCUCUCAGCAAUGAGGAUAUCCUUUGAUAUAGAUUACAUUUCCUUCUUAUACUUUCUGCCAAGUCUUUUCUGGGCUAAGAUAUUGUACAAUGUUUUUACCUUUUAGGAAUGAAUUACCAACCAGACAGAGAUGGUUCCAGGAAAGUCAGUUGCCAAGAAAAAACCAGUGAAAUUCUUGGGUGGAUAUUUGGCAUCCAAGCUAAGAAUAUCCCAUUUAUAAAAAAGUUUUAGUGUCUUUUUCUUUCUUUCUUUCUUUUUUCUUUUCUUUUUUUUUUUUGGAAGACUCUCAACUGAUAGAGAGCCAGCUAGUGAAUGGAUAUGGAUUAGAAAAAAUAAUCCCUCAAACUGAUAUGUUUCCAACAUUCUUCAAAAUUGGGCCCAUACAAAGAAUGUCCUUUGGUUCAUGAUAGCUGUCACUGGAUACAGAGCCUGGCACACUCUACUUCUAUAUGACCAGGUGUGCAUAAGACAUUGCUUUAAAAAGCCACUUCAUCUUUGACCGUUAGCCUCGAUUGUUUAUUGUUGGUUUCCAGAAGCCCAUUUCUUUAUCACACAUGUGAUGUUGUCAUUCUGUGUAUCUUUCAAACAUUUAUUCUGAUACCUAGGUUUGCUUUAAUUAUCUUACCUUAACUCGUUGGACACUGGAGGAAAUCCUGAAGCUGAAUAUGCUAUUAAUGUGGCGCAAGAUUUAUUUCAGUUUUGGAAUUCUUGUUUCUUUCUAGAAAAUUGUGAUAGACCUAACCUGGCAAUUCUGUGUUAUGUAUGAGUUACAUAAAAUACAAAUUUAACAGUAGAAAACAGAGUGUUCUAAUCAGAUAACUCUUUAAAAUGUGUCCAGUUUUUGGUCUAGCUCAUUUACACAUUUUCUUCUUUGUGCUCAUGCAUUUUGAUAUAGGUAUGUUUUAUUUUACAAUGUGGGCUAUGUAUAAGACAAUCUCUUCUAGUGUAGGAAAAAUUAUUAGAAAUGGUAUUUCUAUUUAUUUUAAUACUACUAUCUCAGGGUUGGAUAGAUUUUGUGUAUACUUUAUAAUGUUCCAAAUCAGUGAAUAAGGCAGUAUAUGUGUAUAUUUCACAGAUAAAACUAUGCAUGCGUGAGGAGAAUGUGUAGCCUUUUUUUUUGCUAUGAAUGUGCAAUCAAAUAAAGGUGGGAAACAAAACUGAUGACAUCUUUUAGAGCUCUUUCACACAAGAAUAUGUUGACAAAUAUUCAACACUCCCCUGAUGUAAGCAGAUAUGUGAUAUCAGUUUCCUGGAACAUGACUUGAAUAUUUCCUCUUAAUAACUAUACAUUGGAAAAAGGUUCAUAUAAUUUAACUAAAAAACACAUUCCAUAUUCUCUUUUAUAUUUUUCAUAUUGGUCUAUUCAGCAGCUUCCCUAAGUAGACAUCUUAGGAACAUUGGAUAGUGUCUUUUCUAGUUGAAAGAACAUCCCAAAAGAUUGAAAAGUGGGUGAAUAGAAUCCAGAACAGGUGGUUAUGUUAAUUAAAACUGUAUUAUCUGCAUUUUGAUUGUAUGUAGCGGUUUAUGCACUGAGAAACUUGCAAACAAUGUGUACAAAUCCCAUUCCUGAGAGGUCUAAUUAUUUUUAAGGAAGUUUAAUAAUUCUGACUACACUGCCAGUCAUAAGUCAUACUCAUUCAAUCGGCCUCUGGUGAUGAUUUGUUUAAAAUAACCAAAGGACCUUAUCAUGUUGCGUUAUUCCAAAAUGCAUACAAAGGUUCAGUAAACCAAAUCUUUACUUCUCCUUCAGCUGCCAUAUUCCCAAAUCCUUUACAAUUUUCUUUUUUUUUUUUUUUUUUGGAGUCAGAUCCAUGAAUUCAUUGUGACCCCAGGCAUGGAAUUAAACUACCAUUUCCACAACCAACAGCAAAAUCCCACGGGGUCAAUUAUAGUUUUUGGUUUGUUUUGGUGAUUGUAUCUUAUAAAGUGUAAAACACAGUAUAUCAGUUGCCAAUACUAAGUUAUAAUGAUAUUUUUCAGCAUGUAAGCAUCUACUAAUUAGUAGAAAAAUGCAAAUUUGCCUUAUCUCUAAAGAAUAAAUCAAAGGAUGAUUUUACUAAGAACUAUAAUUUUAGGAUAACAUCUUAAAAUUCUCAUGUUAUGUGACAAUUAAAAAUGACUAAAUAUAAUUUAGAAAAAUUAUGAAAUUAAUAUAAAACUCUUUUGCAAUUACAUUUACCUAGAGUAAUUCUCAUGGAUAGACUAAUGUUUUUAAAAUGCUUUCCAAGGAUUACCUCACAAAGCAUUAAAUCAUGAAAAUAUAUAUUUUUAAAUACUAUUCAUUACAUGUAAAGACUGUUGUUACAUUAGCAUAAAUAGUGAUUAGAAUAUAUAUUCUCUUUCAGUGAUCAAUACACGUCAUACAUAUAGGUGAGAAUUUUUUAUGACUCCAGAAAUAUCUUACCAAAUUUCUAAAAUAAUAAACAAUAGCUUAUCAUGUCCUAAAAAAUAAGACAUAAAAGGUUCUGCAGAUGUAUUUUUAUAAGAUGGAACCCAUUAAAUCAAGGUAUGUAAUAAGCAAUAUGAUAAGUGACUUUGAAAAAGAUUUUGCAAGAUAUUCCAUAAGUUAACUUUUCUUUUUAUAUCACAUUCCCUUGUGCAGUAAACCCCAUCCAAAUUUCUGUCAUCAUAUUCCUUGGCUCCAGCCCUUUUCCUUUAGAUCUGUCACCAGAGACACUGCAUUUGCUUCUGUUGUAGAGCAAGAACACCCUUGCUGGUCACUCUCACACCACAUUUUUGUCCUUCGUGACCUACCAGUUCUUUAUACUCAGAGAACACGGUAUAGUGCAAAUCCUGACGGUAGGUUCUACAAUUAUGCUAAUAGAUUAUAAAGGAUUUGCAACAAUGGAAAUUACAAUAAGGAGGUCCCCAAGGCUAUUUUAAUUUGUCAAUUAUCUCUCCAAUAAUGGGAACUUCUCAUAUAAAUUUACAUAUUGUUUAUUAAAAAAUAGAAACAAAAUUAAGGAGCAAGACCCUGCAAUGUGUGAUGGGAGAGAAGAUCACAAAAGGGAGUAAAUUUAUUGAAUACAUACUGUAUGCUAGAAACAAGGCUAACAUCAUUACAUACAGUAUAUCUUUAACUUUCACAAAUGGUUUUAUAACUAACAUUUAUUUUAUGCAUAAGAAAAUGAGGAUAAGUAGCUUGGUAAAAAUUAGGAGAUACUUUAUCCAAUGGUCUACUUGAACUCCUAUAUCCAAUUCUUAUAAACUAGCUUACAUAAAGUCACUCAUAUCUCAGCCGUGACCACUUUUGAAUAAUCAAGAAGAAUAUGACAUACAAAUUGAAUUUUGAGAAAUGUAAGAAUUUACACUUCUUCUCAUCAAACAAAGCAGAAGACUUUCUGCCUUUGCUGCUAAUAUAUUGUUUUUGUGAUGUGCAAGUUUUCUGCAGAGUGACAGUAAUAACACAAGUCUGAAAUUAAAGCCCCAACUUUUAAUUAAUGUAUAUCUACUAUACAGAAACCUAUUGGAUCCAUAAUAUGCUCAGCACCAUGUUCUAUAUUUUCGGGAAAAGAAAAAUAAAGCUCCAAAUACUUUUUUUUCAAGGAACUCCCAAUUUAUUGCACUAAUAGUUCAGAUUCAGCAUGUUAAGUGCCAAGACGAUGUAUGGAAAAAAAGAUGAUUGGUUCACAAAUAAAGUAGUACAUUAUGUUAUAGAUAGUAGGAGAGUGAUUUGUUUUGUUUUAUGUAAUAGGCACAUUUUGACAUUGUCUUAAAGAAUCAAUAAGAGUUACUGGACAAAAGGGAUAGAGGAAGGUAUUACAGACAGAUGUGUUCAAAUUUGAGAGACAGCAUAAAGUGACUAAAACUAUUCUUAUCUGUGUAUGGAAGAUAAGUAUAAAAAUGGACAAGGAAACAUUUCCCAGAGCUCAUAUCCCAUGGUGAGGAGUUUGGAUGCUAGGAGAAGAGAUAAAAUGAUUACAGCUGUAACCAAGAAAGACUGUUGAGGCAGCAGAGAUAAAAUAUCAUAAGGAGAAUUAAACUUCAGGAGAAGUCAGUUUGAUUGUUGCAAUAAUCAAGCCUAGGUACCCUUAGGACUUAAAUUAGGACAAUUUCAACGAGGAGUGAGAAACAAAACUCAAAAAUUAUCAAGAUAUACUUAGGAUGUGUAAUUGAGAGAACGUGGCGAUCAUUUACAUGUGGCAUGAGAAAGAGGUGGUUGUUGUGGGAACUCCCAAGAUUGCAGGUAAUAUAGAAGACAGGAUGAUGAGUUCCAUUUGAGGUAGGUGAUUUGCUAUUCCAUGAAACAUAAAAAGAUAUACCAAGUAACCAGCCACAAAUGGGUCCAAAGUUUGGUAUAGACUGGAAACAGAAAAUACAGAAUGCACAAUGAUAGCUGAAUCUUGGGCAUAAAAUAAAUCAGCAAGAAGUAGUAUUCAGAGGGAAAA